rnacentral:rRNA from 1 species
AGUCGAACGGUAACAGGAAGCAGCUUGCUGCUUCGCUGACGAGUGGCGGACGGGUGAGUAAUGUCUGGGAAACUGCCUGAUGGAGGGGGAUAACUACUGGAAACGGUAGCUAAUACCGCAUAACGUCGCAAGACCAAAGAGGGGGACCUUCGGGCCUCUUGCCAUCGGAUGUGCCCAGAUGGGAUUAGCUAGUAUGUGGGGUAACGGCUCACCUAGGCGACGAUCCCUAGCUGGUCUGAGAGGAUGACCAGCCACACUGGAACUGAGACACGGUCCAGACUCUUACGGGAGGCAGCAGUGGGGAAUAUUGCACUAUGGGCGCAAGCCUGAUGCAGCCAUGCCGCGUGUAUGAAGAAGGCCUUCGGGUUGUAAAGUACUUUCAGCGGGGAGGAAGGCGACAGGGUUAAUAACCCUGUCGAUUGACGUUACCCGCAGAAGAAGCACCGGCUAACUCCGUGCCAGCAGCCGCGGUAAUACGGAGGGUGCAAGCGUUAAUCGGAAUUACUGGGCGUAAAGCGCACGCAGGCGGUCUGUCAAGUCGGAUGUGAAAUCCCCGGGCUCAACCUGGGAACUGCAUUCGAAACUGGCAGGCUAGAGUCUUGUAGAGGGGGGUAGAAUUCCAGGUGUAGCGGUGAAAUGCGUAGAGAUCUGGAGGAAUACCGGUGGCGAAGGCGGCCCCGUGGACAAAGACUGACGCUCAGGUGCGAAAGCGUGGGGAGCA